UACGUAGGGUGCGAGCGUUGUCCGGAUUUAUUGGGUUUAAAGGGUGCGCAGGUUGUUUGAUAAGUCAGUGGUGAAAGUCUGUCGCUUAACGGUAGGAUUGCCAUUGAUACUGUUAGACUUGAAUAUGGAUGAGGUAGGCGGAAUGUGUAGUGUAGCGGUGAAAUGCAUAGAUAUUACACAGAACACCGAUUGCGAAGGCAGCUUACUAAUCCAUCAUUGACGCUGAGGCACGAAAGCGUGGGGAUCAAACAGGA
rnacentral:rRNA from 1 species